AUGUUAUAUGAUUUGUAGGUGGUGGCAUGGUGGUGGCAAGGGAAGAGAGGAGGAGGAGGAGGAGGAGGAUAAAGUUGAAAAACAGAUGCUUUCACGGUGCCAGGUGCCAACUAUUAACUAUAUAUGGAAUUGUAAAAUAAAUUCCAUUGCCAGCUACAAAGGAUAGGCACAGGCGCAUGCAUCCCCAAUUAGAAUACUCGCUUUAUACCAAAUAUUGGUGCGAUGGUGACUUUGCAUGUCAAAGAGAUACUUCAUAUCACCUGCCUGCCUGCAAUAUUAUUUAUUAAACAAACAGAAUAAUGUAUAUAUAUUCGCCCCUUGUUCAAUUAAUUUAAUUUAUCUUUCUUUUGAAGCAGUCAAAGUUUAAACAGGCUUGCAUUGCAUUGCAUUGCAAUCCCAGAUUUGGGAAGGAGGGAAAUUUUAAAAAGAGGCAUCCACCAACCAAUGGGUCUUGCGAGAAAGGGUGAAAUGUUAUUCUUUACAUGGCUCAAGCUCACACACACGAGCAUGAAUAUAUUAAUAUAGAAGGUAUUGAAUUGCCAAUACAACAUUAUUAUUAUUAUUAUUCGAGUAUCUUUAAUAGUUAUUCAAUUACUAUGAGAUAUUUAAAUAGAUGAAUCACAUCAUAAAAAGAUACAAAAACUCUGCCUUCAUAAUACAGAGAAUAUCUUAAUUAGGUUUUAAAAUUUUAUUUUAUAAAAGUUGCAACGCAUAUGCACACCUCGCACGUACGUAAGCAUUAUACAUAUCAUCAUCAUUCAUUUGUAUUACCAAUGUUGUGGUGUUUUACAGCCUUCAAAUUCCAUAAAAUAGAGGGUUUUUUUAAAAAAAAAAAAUUUCAUAUUGAAAAAAACGUUGGGUUGGGUUAUAGUGGUGUUUGAGGUGACGAGAAUGAUUGCUAAAAUGGUGGUGUUUUUUGAUCAUUCAUAAUAUAUUUAAUAUUUAUAAUUGAAUGCUUUGUUGUGGGAAUAGGGAAUUUUGCUACCUUUGCUUGGUUGGUACGAAAGAAUUUUGUGAAUAGGUUAGUAGUAGAGUAGGAGUGGCAUUUGGGUGCAUACGUAGUAGAUGUAAUAGUAACUAGUAAGAAUAGAAUAGAAUAGAAUGCACAAGACAGACAGAGACAGACAGCUUUAGACCACCUUCCCAUUACCAUAUACCCACACUUUUCAAUUCCUAUGCCAAAGUAAUUGAGUUUUUCUUUCCUUGGAUUCGAUUUGCCUUUGGUACUUCUACAAGUCACCUAUCCACACUGCUUUUCUUUUCUUUUCUUUUCUUUUGUAGCUUUUCCCCAGAGCGAUCAUCAGCAUCAUAAUCAUCAUCAUUUACAUUUACUUUUUUGUCAGAGGAAAAUCUCUAUGGGUUCUGAUCAUAUUGCUUGUUGUUAUUAGGGAGAUUCACUAUUAUACCCAAUAUGGGGGCCCAAAUUAUAAAAAUACCCUAUAUAAAAUGGACUUUAGAAACACACCCAAAACCCAUUUACAACAUAACAAAAAAACUUUUAACUUCUUAUAAAUUACAAAACUGCCAUCAAUUUCUUAAAACAAGCCAAACUCCAAAAUCUCAUAAAAAUACCCAAAGCACUCAAUAGGGCAUCAAAGUAAUUUAAUAAUCAAUAUUAAAUUCUAUAAGGCUAGCUAUCAUUUUUUGGGUUUUUUUUGGGUUUGUUUAUAGGAAUUCAAUUGUGUAGGGUUUAUUUAUAAUAUUAGUGCUAGAAAUGGGUAUAUCACUAAAUAUCUCUUGUUAUUAUGUCUUUAUUUGCAUAUAGUUAGCGUGAGUAGGAGAGUAACGCCAACAACAGUGUCAUCCAUUUUCUCUCUACAAAAUUGACUGAUCAUGCAUUACUAGACUUAGAUGAAUGCGAAAGUAGGUAGACUACUAGGCUGUUUGUUUCUAUGGCAUUUUAUGUAUUUACUUUAAUUUUAACAACCCUUCUAAAAAGAAAACAAAAGAAAUAAUAUGUUGGGAAUUCUAAGUCGGGGUUGGUUUAGGGCAUCUUCGAUUUGACACCCAAAACUAACCUGAUAGGAUACAAGCUGGGCCAUGGCUUAGGGAAGAUUAAGAAUCAAUGGGCCCAUCAUGACAUAACAGUUGUUGGCCUGUUAGUUACUGAAUACUGACUGAGGAGGAGGAGGAGGAGGCUCUGUCCGAGGCUUCACAAGAACAACACCAUCAUGUCAUCAGUCAUUUUAUGCAGUGACUGCGUGUCAGCCAACCUACAAACUUUCUCUGCUAGUUUAGCUACUAGCUACUACUGUUCCUUUC
rnacentral:lncRNA from 1 species